rnacentral:tRNA from 1 species
GAGGGUAUAGCUCAGUGGUAGAGCACAUGCUUAGCAUGCAUGAGGUUCUGGGUUCAAUUCCCAGUACCUCCA